CACCUCUAGCAUUACUAGUAUUAGAGGCACUGCCUGCCCAGUGACAACUGUUUAACGGCCGCGGUAUCCUGACCGUGCAAAGGUAGCAUAAUCAUUUGUUCUUUAAAUAAGGACUUGUAUGAAUGGCCACACGAGGGUUUAACUGUCUCUUAUUUCUAAUCAGUGAAAUUGACCUUUCCGUGAAGAGGCGGAAAUAAUCUAAUAAGACGAGAAGACCCUAUGGAGCUUUAAUUGACCUAGUCCAACAGAAUAGUACUUAACUCCACCAAGGACUAACAAACAUUCUAACUGGGCUAUAAAUUUCGGUUGGGGUGACCUCGGAGCACAAAAUAACCUCCGAGAGCUAUCUACUAAGACUGACAAGUCAAAGUAAAUCUUUACAAAUUGAUCCAGUCCCACUGAUCAACGGAACAAGUUACCCUAGGGAUAACAGCGCAAUCCUAUUCUAGAGUCCCUAUCGACAAUAGGGUUUACGACCUCGAUGUUGGAUCAGGACAUCCCAAUGGUGCAGCAGCUAUUAAAGGUUCGUUUGU
rnacentral:rRNA from 1 species